rnacentral:rRNA from 1 species
GAUGAACGCUGGCGGCGUGCCUAAUACAUGCAAGUCGAGCGAACGGACGAGAAGCUUGCUUCUCUGAUGUUAGCGGCGGACGGGUGAGUAACACGUGGAUAACCUACCUAUAAGACUGGGAUAACUUCGGGAAACCGGAGCUAAUACCGGAUAAUAUUUUGAACCGCAUGGUUCAAAAGUAAAAGACGGUCUUGCUGUCACUUAUAGAUGGAUCCGCGCUGCAUUAGCUAGUUGGUAAGGUAACGGCUUACCAAGGCAACGAUGCAUAGCCGACCUGAGAGGGUGAUCGGCCACACUGGAACUGAGACACGGUCCAGACUCCUACGGGAGGCAGCAGUAGGGAAUCUUCCGCAAUGGGCGAAAGCCUGACGGAGCAACGCCGCGUGAGUGAUGAAGGUCUUCGGAUCGUAAAACUCUGUUAUUAGGGAAGAACAUAUGUGUAAGUAACUGUGCACAUCUUGACGGUACCUAAUCAGAAAGCCACGGCUAACUACGUGCCAGCAGCCGCGGUAAUACGUAGGUGGCAAGCGUUAUCCGGAAUUAUUGGGCGUAAAGCGCGCGUAGGCGGUUUUUUAAGUCUGAUGUGAAAGCCCACGGCUCAACCGUGGAGGGUCAUUGGAAACUGGAAAACUUGAGUGCAGAAGAGGAAAGUGGAAUUCCAUGUGUAGCGGUGAAAUGCGCAGAGAUAUGGAGGAACACCAGUGGCGAAGGCGACUUUCUGGUCUGUAACUGACGCUGAUGUGCGAAAGCGUGGGGAUCAAACAGGAUUAGAUACCCUGGUAGUCCACGCCGUAAACGAUGAGUGCUAAGUGUUAGGGGGUUUCCGCCCCUUAGUGCUGCAGCUAACGCAUUAAGCACUCCGCCUGGGGAGUACGACCGCAAGGUUGAAACUCAAAGGAAUUGACGGGGACCCGCACAAGCGGUGGAGCAUGUGGUUUAAUUCGAAGCAACGCGAAGAACCUUACCAAAUCUUGACAUCCUCUGACCCCUCUAGAGAUAGAGUUUUCCCCUUCGGGGGACAGAGUGACAGGUGGUGCAUGGUUGUCGUCAGCUCGUGUCGUGAGAUGUUGGGUUAAGUCCCGCAACGAGCGCAACCCUUAAGCUUAGUUGCCAUCAUUAAGUUGGGCACUCUAAGUUGACUGCCGGUGACAAACCGGAGGAAGGUGGGGAUGACGUCAAAUCAUCAUGCCCCUUAUGAUUUGGGCUACACACGUGCUACAAUGGACAAUACAAAGGGCAGCGAAACCGCGAGGUCAAGCAAAUCCCAUAAAGUUGUUCUCAGUUCGGAUUGUAGUCUGCAACUCGACUAUAUGAAGCUGGAAUCGCUAGUAAUCGUAGAUCAGCAUGCUACGGUGAAUACGUUCCCGGGUCU